UACAGAGGUCCCGAGCGUUGUUCGGAUUCACUGGGCGUAAAGGGUGCGUAGGUGGUGAGGUAAGUCGGAUGUGAAAUCUCCGGGCUCAACCCGGAAAUGGCAUUGGAAACUACCUUGCUGGAGGAUUUGAGGGGGGAUUGGAAUACUUGGUGUAGCAGUGGAAUGCGCAGAUAUCAGGAGGAACACCAAUAGCGAAGGCAGCUCGCUGGGACGGUACUGACGCUGAGGCGCGAAAGCGUGGGGAGCAAACAGG
rnacentral:rRNA from 1 species